GAUGAACGCUGGCGGCGUGCCUAAUACAUGCAAGUCGAGCGAACGGACGAGAAGCUUGCUUCUCUGAUGUUAGCGGCGGACGGGUGAGUAACACGUGGAUAACCUACCUAUAAGACUGGGAUAACUUCGGGAAACCGUAGCUAAUACCGGAUAAUAUUUUGAACCGCAUGGUUCAAAAGUGAAAGACGGUCUUGCUGUCACUUAUAGAUGGAUCCGCGCUGCAUUAGCUAGUUGGUAAGGUAACGGCUUACCAAGGCAACGAUGCAUAGCCGACCUGAGAGGGGGAUCGGCCACACGGGAACUGAGACACGGUCCAGACUCCUACGGGAGGCAGCGGUAGGGAAUCUUCCGCAAUGGGCGAAAGCCUGACGGAGCAACGCCGCGUGAGUGAUGAAGGUCUUCGGUUCGUAAAACUCUGUUAUUAGGGAAGAACAUAUGUGUAAGUAACUGUGCACAUCUUGACGGUACCUAAGCAGAAAGCCACGGCUAACUACGU
rnacentral:rRNA from 1 species